UUCCAGUAGCAACGCAGUGGCACAGUAGGUAGUGCUGUCACCUCACAGCAAGAAGGUUGCUGGUUUGAGCCUCGGCUGGGUCAGUUGGCUGAAUACAAUGACAUCACACUUGCUCACACGAGCUCAGAUUGUGAUGGACCUGGAAUGUGACAUCAGUUACUCUUAAGUCAGGAACCAAAUAAAGCACAGAUGUGGAGGGAUCUGCAACUAAACUAACUGGAGGAAAGGAACCUUUAGUGUGGGUGAACAUACUACCUUGAUGUCCAACAAAGGCUGCACAAGAGCUCAUUUGAUG